GAUGAAGAACGCAGCGAAAUGCGAAAAGUAGUGUGAAUUGCAGAAUUCCGUGAAUCAUCGAAUCUUUGAACGCACAUUGCGCCCCUCGGUAUUCCGUGGGGCAUGCCUGUUCGAGCGUCAUUUACACCCUCAAGCUCUGCUUGGUGUUGGGCGUCUGUCCCGCUUUAUGCGUGGACUCGCCCCAAAGUCAUUGGCAGCGGUCGUGCCAGCUUCUCGCGCAGCACAUUUGCGUUUCUUGAAGUUUGGUGGAUCAGCAUCCAGUAAGUUCUUUUAUGACUUGACCUCGGAUCAGGUAGGGAUACCCGCUGAACUUAAGCAUAUCAAUAAGCGGAGGA
rnacentral:misc_RNA from 1 species